rnacentral:rRNA from 1 species
GCAGGGAAUCUUGCACAAUGGGCGAAAGCCUGAUGCAGCGACGCCGCGUGGGGGACGAAGGCCCUUAGGGUCGUAAACCCCUUUCAGCAGGGACGAAAAUGACGGUACCUGCAGAAGAAGCUCCGGCCAACUACGUGCCAGCAGCCGCGGUAAGACGUAGGGGGCGAGCGUUGUCCGGAUUUAUUGGGCGUAAAGAGCUCGUAGGCGGUUGCGUAAGUCGGAUGUGAAAACUCAGGGCUCAACCCUGAGACGUCAUCCGAUACUGCGCUGACUCGAAUCCAGUAGGGGAGUGUGGAAUUCCUGGUGUAGCGGUGAAAUGCGCAGAUAUCAGGAGGAACACCUAUGGCGAAGGCAGCACUCUGGGCUGGUAUUGACGCUGAGGAGCGAAAGCAUGGGUAGCAAACAGGAUUAGAUACCCUGGUAGUCC